UACGGAGGAUCCAAGCGUUAUCCGGAAUCAUUGGGUUUAAAGGGUCCGUAGGCGGACCAGUAAGUCAGUGGUGAAAUCUCCCGGCUCAACCGGGAAAUGGCCAUUGAUACUGCUGGUCUUGAAUUAUUAGGAAGUAACUAGAAUAUGUAGUGUAGCGGUGAAAUGCUUAGAUAUUACAUGGAAUACCGAUGCGAAGGCAGGUUACUACUAAUGGAUUGACGCUGAUGGACGAAAGCGUGGGUAGCGAACAGG
rnacentral:rRNA from 1 species